rnacentral:rRNA from 1 species
UACGUAGGUGGCACGCGUUGUCCGGAUUUACUGGGCGUAAAGGAUGCGUAGGCGGAUGUUUAAGUGAGAUGUGAAAUACCCGAGCUCAACUUGGGUGCUGCAUUUCAAACUGGAUAUCUAGAGUGCAGGAGAGGAAAGCGGAAUUCCUAGUGUAGCGGUGAAAUGCGUAGAGAUUAGGAAGAACACCAGUGGCGAAGGCGGCUUUCUGGACUGUAACUGACGCUGAGGCAUGAAAGCGUGGGGAGCAAACAGG